CGCUCUUCCGAUUUCUCCCCUCAUAUUCUAUGCUCAUUUAGGUCAGUCUGCUUCCUGGACUCUGUAGAGUGUCCUAUACGGCACGAACUUACUUUAACUUUACAGUAGUCUUACAUUUGAUCCAUACUGCUGUUUUAAAAAGAGAAAAUUUACUCUUCCAGCUUAAUUUUAGAGUAACUGGGCCAAGCCAAUGCUCCCUGCCAAGAGCACGUCACUCCUGCAGGGAGCUGCAGUCCACGCACUUAGCUUGGCAAGACAAUGGCUACAGGCAAGGUUCUCCGGUUCUCCGGUUCUCCAUGAAGGUGCUGUUCUGUCUGCUUCCUACGGAAUCUAUUCCUGCUCCUUUAUGUUGUCACCAUUAUUUUUACUGAUCCUGAGGUCAUCGGGAUGGAUCAACUGUUCUCAAAAAGAGUUCCAGCCCCACGGAGACCAUGCUCUGUUUCCCACAAAGGCUCAGGGGUUCCAGUGGCAGCAAGAUUUACUGCAAUGAUCAGGACGGUCUCUGAAAACAAAGAAUCCCAGCCAAUUUUCAAGUGUCCUGUCAGAAUUCAUGGUUCUAAUUUCUUUAUCCUUCAUGACGACGUCACCCAGAAUUCUAAGAAUGCUGCUGAAGUACAACGGUGCCGGCCAGCAUCCCUAUCCUGAGGUUUCAACAGUGAAUCGCGUUCAAGAUCUUCUAGACCUAGUCUGUUAGUAGUUACAUCUGGAAUGAAGGUGAAAUUUCAUCAAGUCUUUCCGAUA